GAUGAACGCUAGCGGGAGGCUUAACACAUGCAAGUCGAGGGGGCAGGCACGGGUAGCAAUACCUGGUGGCGACCGGCAGACGGGUGAGUAACGCGUAUGUAACCUACCCUGUACAGGGGGAUAACCCGGGAGAAAUUCGGACUAAUAUCCCAUAGAAAUAUUGGAAGGCAUCUUUUGAUAUUUAAAGUUCCGGCGGUACGGGAUGGGCAUGCGUAACAUUAGCUAGUUGGUAAGGUAACGGCUUACCAAGGCUUUGAUGUUUAGGGGUCCUGAGAGGGUGAUCCCCCACACUGGUACUGAGACACGGACCAGACUCCUACGGGAGGCAGCAGUGAGGAAUAUUGGUCAAUGGGCGCAAGCCUGAACCAGCCAUCCCGCGUGCAGGAAGACGGCCCUAUGGGUUGUAAACUGCUUUUCCAGGGGGAGAAAUUUGCGCACGUGUUGCGUAAUUGACGGUACCUUGGGAAUAAGCAUCGGCUAACUCCGUG
rnacentral:rRNA from 1 species